rnacentral:rRNA from 1 species
AUUGAACGCUGGCGGCAGGCCUAACACAUGCAAGUCGAACGAGUGGCGGACGGGUGAGUAAUGUCUGGGAAACUGUCUGAUGGAGGGGGAUAACUACUGGAAACGGUAGCUCAUACCGCAUACCCUCGGAUGUGCCCCUAUGGGAUUAGCUAGUAGGUGGGGUAACGGCUCACCUAUGCGACGAUCCCUAGCUGGUCUGAGAGGAUGACCAGCCACACUGGAACUGAGACACGGUCCAGACUCAUACGGUGGGCAGCAGUGGUGAAUAUUGCACAAUGGGCGAUAGCCUGAUGCAGCCAUGCCGCGUGUAUGAAGAAGGCCUACGGGUUGUAAAGUACUUUCAGCGGGGAGGCGUUACCCGCAGAAGAAGCACCGGCUAACUCCGUGCCAGCAGCCGCGGUAAUAC